UACGGGGGAGCAAGCGUUGUUCGGAUUUAUUGGGCGUAAAGGGCGCGUAGGCGGCCACCGCAAGUCGGUUGUGAAAUCUCCGGGCUUAACCCGGAAGGUCAAUCGAUACUGCGGGGCUAGAGUGCAGAAGGGGCAACUGGAAUUCUCGGUGUAGCGGUGAAUGCGUAGAUAUCGAGAGGAACACCUGCGGCGAAGGCGGGUUGCUGGGCUGACACUGACGCUGAAGCGCGAAAGCUAGGGGAGCGAACGGG
rnacentral:rRNA from 1 species